CUCAAGAAAGAGGAAUCAAGCAUCGAAACAAUAUGUAAACCAGCUAAAGCCAUCAGCACCGCCCAUCACACUAUGGGAGCUGGCCAUGCCCGAAGUCAUUACCUUAACCGCAAGGAGGGGGAUGCCGGAGGCAGGGCUAGUGACUGGAGUGAAGUCGUAACAAGGUAGCCGUACUGGAAGGUGUGGCUAGAUCACCUCCUUU
rnacentral:ncRNA from 1 species